CUUUUUGAAUGGAUCGAUCUUUGGAUGUGCGGAUCGAUCGCUGUGCUGUUGCUGCUCUUCCAAAAUGUGUUGUGGCCGAAAUGCACAAUAUAAUGUGGAUAAUUAUAACGAUAUAAUGAACUGAAGAUCUACGUCUGAAUUUGUAGAAACUGAGUAGAAAACUGAGUCGAGACGAUGACGAACCUUUGGGCCGAGACGUUGGAGACGUUUGGAUGCGACGGAACGGUGACGAGACGAGACGAGACGAGACGAUCGAGAAAUCAAAUUCAGACGCUUUAAUUUUGCUUCAAAUCGAAAUCGAUGCGAAACUUGAACUGAAACUGGAGUUCUGCUUACUUUCCUUUCCCUUCCUUUCCUUUGCUUUCUUCCUUUCUUUAAUUAAUUUCGAAUAUAUUUGCUAAAUCUUCUUUUUU
rnacentral:lncRNA from 1 species